GAUGAAGAACGCAGCGAAAUGCGAUAAGUAAUGUGAAUUGCAGAAUUCAGUGAAUCAUCGAAUCUUUGAACGCACAUUGCGCCCGCCAGCAUUCUGGCGGGCAUGCCUGUUCGUGCGUCAUUUCAACCCUCGAGCCCCCCCGGGGGCCUCGGUGUUGGGGGACGGCACACCAGCCGCCCCCGAAAUGCAGUGGCGACCCCGCCGCAGCCUCCCCUGCGUAGUAGCACACACCUCGCACCGGAGCGCGGAGGCGGUCACGCCGUAAAACGCCCAACUUUCUUAGAGUUGACCUCGGAUCAGGUAGGAAUACCCGCUGAACUUAAGCAUAUCAAUAAGCGGAGGA
rnacentral:misc_RNA from 1 species